ensembl:lncRNA TESHL testicular germ cell expressed HSF2 interacting lncRNA
GGACAGAGGCAUAACCUUGCGUGGCAGCUGCACGGGAAUUGGAUUUGGCUCAGGUGUUUCAGAUGACUAAGUUGGGAGCAUUUGACAAUUUUAGAUGUGGGAUGAAAAUUGCCUUAUCUAAGACAUAGGGCACCUGCAGAAGUAAAGAGAAACAGAACAAAGGGGACCACUCUUGGUAUAGAAGUUCAUCUCGUCGGGAGCAUCUGUGGUUCUUUUAUAAGCAAUGUACAUUCUACAAUAGAGGCAGACCCAGAAAUAAUUCAGAUAUUGGAGUUAGAAGAUCAGGAUUCUAAAAAAACCAAAAGAUCCUGCCUUACUAUGCACCUAUGGCCCUUCAAAGGCGAGAGUAGAAUCUGCUAUGAUUUAGAAGCAAGCAAUAAAAAGUACACAUCAGGCAAUGGAAAUAAUGAACAAAAUUCUCUCAAGCAAGAUUGGCCCUAUGAACAAGUGAAGAUGGUGGGCGAUUUCAGCUGCUUCAGAAUCACUCUACCUGUCUCAAGGACAAAGGGAAGAAACCCACAAUACUAGAUGUAUUAUAUAUUUUCUAGAGUCCAAAA